rnacentral:pre_miRNA from 14 species
UCUUCGGAGACGAGGGUGGUCGCUGAUCCUGGACAAGCCCCCAGAUGAAAGAACCCCAAAUCGGGGAGACUCUUGCUCCAGUCUCGGGAUGGCGUGCCCCAGGAAACCCGAAUAGUCGA